rnacentral:rRNA from 1 species
CGCUUAGGCGUGUGACUGCGUACCUUUUGUAUAAUGGGUCAGCGACUUAUAUUCUGUAGCAAGGUUAACCGAAUAGGGGAGCCGAAGGGAAACCGAGUCUUAACUGGGCGUUAAGUUGCAGGGUAUAGACCCGAAACCCGGUGAUCUAGCCAUGGGCAGGUUGAAGGUUGGGUAACACUAACUGGAGGACCGAACCGACUAAUGUUGAAAAAUUAGCGGAUGACUUGUGGCUGGGGGUGAAAGGCCAAUCAAACCGGGAGAUAGCUGGUUCUCCCCGAAAGCUAUUUAGGUAGCGCCUCGUGAAUUCAUCUCCGGGGGUAGAGCACUGUUUCGGCAAGGGGGUCAUCCCGACUUACCAACCCGAUGCAAACUGCGAAUACCGGAGAAUGUUAUCACGGGAGACACACGGCGGGUGCUAACGUCCGUCGUGAAGAGGGAAACAACCCAGACCGCCAGCUAAGGUCCCAAAGUCAUGGUUAAGUGGGAAACGAUGUGGGAAGGCCCAGACAGCCAGGAUGUUGGCUUAGAAGCAGCCAUCAUUUAAAGAAAGCGUAAUAGCUCACUGGUCGAGUCGGCCUGCGCGGAAGAUGUAACGGGGCUAAACCAUGCACCGAAGCUGCGGCAGCGACGCUUAUGCGUUGUUGGGUAGGGGAGCGUUCUGUAAGCCUGCGAAGGUGUGCUGUGAGGCAUGCUGGAGGUAUCAGAAGUGCGAAUGCUGACAUAAGUAACGAUAAAGCGGGUGAAAAGCCCGCUCGCCGGAAGACCAAGGGUUCCUGUCCAACGUUAAUCGGGGCAGGGUGAGUCGACCCCUAAGGCGAGGCCGAAAGGCGUAGUCGAUGGGAAACAGGUUAAUAUUCCUGUACUUGGUGUUACUGCGAAGGGGGGACGGAGAAGGCUAUGUUGGCCGGGCGACGGUUGUCCCGGUUUAAGCGUGUAGGCUGGUUUUCCAGGCAAAUCCGGAAAAUCAAGGCUGAGGCGUGAUGACGAGGCACUACGGUGCUGAAGCAACAAAUGCCCUGCUUCCAGGAAAAGCCUCUAAGCAUCAGGUAACAUCAAAUCGUACCCCAAACCGACACAGGUGGUCAGGUAGAGAAUACCAAGGCGCUUGAGAGAACUCGGGUGAAGGAACUAGGCAAAAUGGUGCCGUAACU